CAGUAGCCACGGUAAUACGAAGGGUGCAAGCGUUAAUCGGAAUUACUGGGCGUAAAGCGUGCGUAGGCGGUGAGUUAAGUCUGCUGUGAAAUCCCCGGGCUCAACCUGGGAAUGGCAGUGGAUACUGGCUCGCUAGAGUGUGUCAGAGGAUGGUGGAAUUCCCGGUGUAGCGGUGAAAUGCGUAGAGAUCGGGAGGAACAUCAGUGGCGAAGGCGGCCAUCUGGGACAACACUGACGCUGAGGCACGAAAGCGUGGGGAGCAAACAGGAUUAGAUACCCCCGUAGUCCUGUCUCUUAUACA
rnacentral:rRNA from 1 species